GGGUUGUAAAGUACUUUCAGCGGGGAGGAAGGUGAUAAGGUUAAUACCCUUAUCAAUUGACGUUACCCGCAGAAGAAGCACCGGCUAACUCCGUGCCAGCAGCCGCGGUAAUACGGAGGGUGCAAGCGUUAAUCGGAAUUACUGGGCGUAAAGCGCACGCAGGCGGUCAAUUAAGUCAGAUGUGAAAGCCCCGAGCUUAACUUGGGAAUUGCAUCUGAAACUGGUUGGCUAGAGUCUUGUAGAGGGGGGUAGAAUUCCACGUGGUAGCGGUGAAAUGCGUAGAGAUGUGGAGGAAUACCGGUGGCGAAGGCGGCCCCCUGGACAAAGACUGACGC
rnacentral:rRNA from 1 species